UUUACAUCACUUCUCAAUUCCACUUUCCCAUGAAACAAGGGUCCAUGUUUUAAGGAGAAGUACAAGUCUAGUCAAAGACUUUUGAGUCUUGAAAUUUGAAUUCCAAAGACUAGUUUGUAUUUUCCUCCAUUGAACAAUUUCCAUCAAAGUCCAAAUUGUAGAAUUGAUCAAGACUUCCAAAUUUGAAAAAUAAAAUUGUUGACCGAGGCCAAUCAAGGACUGCCAC
rnacentral:lncRNA from 1 species